rnacentral:rRNA from 1 species
GACGAACGCUGGCGGCGUGCCUAAUACAUGCAAGUUGAGCGAUGAAGAUUGGUGCUUGCACCAAUUUGAAGAGCAGCGAACGGGUGAGUAACGCGUGGGGAAUCUGCCUUUGAGCGGGGGACAACAUUUGGAAACGAAUGCUAAUACCGCAUAACAACUUUAAACAUAAGUUUUAAGUUUGAAAGGUGCAAUUGCAUCACUCAAAGAUGAUCCCGCGUUGUAUUAGCUAGUUGGUGAGGUAAAGGCUCACCAAGGCGAUGAUACAUAGCCGACCUGAGAGGGUGAUCGGCCACAUUGGGACUGAGACACGGCCCAAACUCCUACGGGAGGCAGCAGUAGGGAAUCUUCGGCAAUGGACGAAAGUCUGACCGAGCAACGCCGCGUGAGUGAAGAAGGUUUUCGGAUCGUAAAACUCUGUUGGUAGAGAAGAACGUUGGUGAGAGUGGAAAGCUCAUCAAGUGACGGUAACUACCCAGAAAGGGACGGCUAACUACGUG